GACGAACGCUGGCGGCGUGCCUAAUACAUGCAAGUCGAGCGGACUGAUUAAGAGCUUGCUCUUAUGACGUUAGCGGCGGACGGGUGAGUAACACGUGGGCAACCUGCCCUGUAGAUCGGGAUAACACCGAGAAAUCGGUGCUAAUACCGGGUAAUAUCUGAGAUCACAUGAUCUUAGGUUAAAAGAUGGCUCCGGCUAUCACUACAGGAUGGGCCCGCGGCGCAUUAGCUAGUUGGUAAGGUAAUGGCUUACCAAGGCGACGAUGCGUAGCCGACCUGAGAGGGUGAUCGGCCACACCGGGACUGAGACACGGCCCAGACUCCCACGGGAGGCAGCAGUAGGGAAUCUUCCGCAAUGGGCGAAAGUCUGACGGAGCAACGCCGCGUGAGUGAUGAAGGGUUGCGGCGCGUAAAGCUCUGUUGUUAGGGAAGAAACAGUACCGAACGAACUAGGUCGGUACCUUGACGGUACCUAAACAGAAAGCCACGGCUAACUACGUG
rnacentral:rRNA from 1 species